rnacentral:rRNA from 1 species
AUUGAACGCUGGCGGCAGGCCUAACACAUGCAAGUCGAACGAGUGGCGGAAGGGUGAGUAAUGUCUGGGAAAAUGCCCGAUGGAGGGGGAUAACUACUGGAAACGGUAGCUAAUACCGCAUACCAUCGGAUGUGCCCCGAUGGGAUUAGCUAGUAUGUGGGGUACCGGCUCACCUAGGCGACGAUCCCUAGCUGGUCUGAGAGGAUGACCAGUCACACUGUAACUGAGACACUGUCCAGCCGCCUACGGGAGGCAGCAGUGGGGAAUAUUGCACAAUGGGCGCAAGCCUGAUGCAGCCAUGCCGCGUGUAUGAAGAAUGCCUUCGGGUUUUAAAGUACUUUCAGCGAGGAGGCGUUACUCGCAGAAGAAGCACCGGCUAACUCCGUGCCAGCAGCCGCGGUAAUAC